rnacentral:rRNA from 1 species
AACGAACGCUGGCGGCAUGCCUAACACAUGCAAGUCGAACGAGACCUUCGGGUCUAGUGGCGCACGGGUGCGUAACGCGUGGGAACCUGCCCUUAGGUUCGGAAUAACUCCCCGAAAGGGGUGCUAAUACCGGAUAAUGUCUUCGGACCAAAGAUUUAUCGCCUUUGGAUGGGCCCGCGUUGGAUUAGCUAGUUGGUAGGGUAAAAGCCUACCAAGGCGACGAUCCAUAGCUGGUCUGAGAGGAUGAUCAGCCACACUGGGACUGAGACACGGCCCAGAAUCCUACGGGAGGCAGCAGUGGGGAAUAUUGGACAGUGGGCGAAGGCCUGAUCCAGCAAUGCCGCGUGAGUGAUGAAGGCCUUAGGGUUGUAAAGCUCUUUUACCCGGGAUGAUAAUGACAGUACCGGGAGAAUAAGCUCCGGCUAACUCCGUG